GAUGAACGCUAGCUACAGGCUUAACACAUGCAAGUCGAGGGGCAGCAUGGUCUUAGCUUGCUAAGGCCGAUGGCGACCGGCGCACGGGUGAGUAACACGUAUCCAACCUGCCGUCUACUCUUGGACAGCCUUCUGAAAGGAAGAUUAAUACAAGAUGGCAUCAUGAGUCCGCAUGUUCACAUGAUUAAAGGUAUUCCGGUAGACGAUGGGGAUGCGUUCCAUUAGAUAGUAGGCGGGGUAACGGCCCACCUAGUCUUCGAUGGAUAGGGGUUCUGAGAGGAAGGUCCCCCACAUUGGAACUGAGACACGGUCCAAACUCCUACGGGAGGCAGCAGUGAGGAAUAUUGGUCAAUGGGCGAGAGCCUGAACCAGCCGAGUAGCGUGAAGGAUGACUGCCCUAUGGGUUGUAAACUUCUUUUAUAAAGGAAUAAAGUCGGGUAUGGAUACCCGUUUGCAUGUACUUUAUGAAUAAGGAUCGGCUAACUCCGUG
rnacentral:rRNA from 1 species